rnacentral:lncRNA from 1 species
UAUGUAAUUGGUAUCCAAGUAAAGACAAUGGAGCUAAAUGCAAAAAAUGUUACUUAGAAGCAUGUAUAAAUUGUAUAGAAAACACUUUAAAAAUACAAGUAGAACCCGAAAUAAAUAACGGACAAAAAUAUACGAAUAAUCAAAUCCUAAAUCUAAGGGUGUCUACUUUAGAAACCAGAGUAAAUGAUUUAGAACAAAGAUUAACUAUCCUAGAAAAAGGAAAAACCAAAAUCGCCAUAGAAGAAACAGAUACACAAGAGGCGGUACAUUUAGAAAAAC